rnacentral:rRNA from 1 species
AAGUCCUACGGGGCGCAGCAGUGGGGAAUAUUGGACAAUGGGGGGAACCCUGAGCCAGCGACGCCGCGUGAGUGAAGAAGUAUUUCGGUAUGUAAAGCUCUAUCAGCAGGGAAGAAAAUGACGGUACCUGACUAAGAAGCCCCGGCUAACUACGUGCCAGCAGCCGCGGUAAUACGUAGGGGGCAAGCGUUAUCCGGAUUUACUGGGUGUAAAGGGAGCGUAGGCGGUUCAGCAAGUCAGAAGUGAAAGCCCGGGGCUC